AGACGGGGGGUGCUAGCGUUGUUCGGAAUUACUGGGCGUAAAGGGCGCGUAGGCGGCUCUGCGAGUCGGGCGUGAAAUCCCGGGGCUCAACCCCGGAACGGCGCUCGAUACUGCGGGGCUUGAGACCGGAAGAGGAGGGUGGAAUUCCCAGUGUAGAGGUGAAAUUCGUAGAUAUUGGGAGGAACACCGGUGGCGAAAGCGGCUCUCUGGUCCGGUUCUGACGCUGAGGCGCGAAAGCGUGGGGAGCAAACAGGAUUAGAUACCCUAGUAGUCC
rnacentral:rRNA from 1 species